GUUUUAGCUUUUUCUUUCAAAGACACGCACACACACAGGAACAUAAAACUUACUAUACCAACACUCACACUCAAGCAAUUAAUGACUGAGCAAAGUCUUGGCAACGCUUAUAAACCCACACACAUACACAUUCACAACCGAUGAGAGAGCCCGAAAGCUCCAACAACAUUAAUUACACUUUCUAGAUUUUUUUCCAUUCAAU
rnacentral:misc_RNA from 1 species